rnacentral:rRNA from 1 species
CGAAAGCCUGACGGAGCAAUACCGCGUGAGGGAAGACGGCCUAUGGGUUGUAAACCUCUUUUUUCAGGGAGGAACAAAAUGACGUGUACCUGAAGAAUAAGCAUCGGCUAACUCCGUGCCAGCAGCCGCGGUAAUACGGAGGAUGCAAGCGUUAUCCGGAAUCAUUGGGCGUAAAGCGUCCGCAGGUGGCUAGUCAAGUCUGCUGUUAAAGACAGAAGCUCAACUUCUGAUAGGCAGUGGAGACUGGGUAGCUAGAGUAUGGUAGGGGUUGAGGGAAUUCCCAGUGUAGCGGUGAAAUGCGUAGAUAUUAGGAAGAACACCAGUGGCGAAGGCGCUCUACUGGGCCAUAACUGACACUGAUGGACGAAAGCUAGGGGAGCG